GUGGGGAAUCUUGCGCAAUGGGCGGAAGCCUGACGCAGCAACGCCGCGUGGGGGACGAAGGCUUUCGGGUUGUAAACCCCUUUCGACAGGAACGAAGUUGACGGUACCUGGAGAAGAAGCCCCGGCUAACUACGUGCCAGCAGCCGCGGUAAUACGUAGGGGGCGAGCGUUGUCCGGAUUUAUUGGGCGUAAAGAGCUCGUAGGCGGUUACGUAAGUCGGGUGUGAAAGCCCCAGGCUUAACCUGGGGAUGCCAUUUGAUACUGCGUUGACUAGAGUCUGGUAGGGGAUCACGGAAUUCCUGGUGUAGCGGUGAAAUGCGCAGAUAUCAGGAGGAACACCGGUGGCGAAGGCGGUGAUCUGGGCCAGUACUGACGCUGAGGAGCGAAAGCGUGGGUAGCAAACAGGAUUAGAUACCCUUGUAGUCC
rnacentral:rRNA from 1 species